GAUGAACGCUGGCGGCGUGCCUAACACAUGCAAGUCGAGCGAACGGACGAGAAGCUUGCUUUUCUGAUGUUAGCGGCGGACGGGUGAGUAACACGUGGAUAAUCUACCUAUAAGUCUGGGAAAACUUCGGGAAACCGGAGCUUAUACCGGAUAAUAUUUUGAACCGCAUGGUUCAAAAGUGAAAGACGGUCUUGCUGUCACUUAUAGAUGGAUCCGCGCUGCAUUAGCUAGUUGGUAAGGUAACGGCUUACCAAGGCAACGAUGCAUAGACGACCGGAGAGGGUGAUCGGCCACACUGGAGCUGAAACACGGUCCAGACGACUAAGAGAGGCAGCAGUAGGGAAUCUUCCGCAAUGGGCGAAAGCCUGACGGAGCAGCGCCGCGUGAGAGAUGAAGGUCUUCCGAUCGUAAAACUCUGUUAUUAGGGAAGAACAUAUGUGUACGUAACUGUGCACAUCUUGACGGUACCUAAUCAGAAAGCCACGGCUAACUACGUG
rnacentral:rRNA from 1 species